GUUUCCGUAGUGUAGUCGUUAUCACGUUCGCCUCACAUGCGAAAGGUCCCCGGUUCAUAACCAGGAGGGAACA